rnacentral:rRNA from 1 species
UGAGGAAUAUUGGUCAAUGGGCGAGAGCCUGAACCAGCCAAGUAGCGUGCAGGAUGACGGCCCUAUGGGUUGUAAACUGCUUUUAUGUGGGGAUAAAGUGCGUGACGUGUCAUGCAUUGCAGGUACCAGAUGAAUAAGGACCGGCUAAUUCCGUGCCAGCAGCCGCGGUAAUACGGAAGGUCCGGGCGUUAUCCGGAUUUAUUGGGUUUAAAGGGAGCGUAGGCUGUCUAUUAAGCGUGUUGUGAAAUUUACCGGCUCAACCGGUGGCUUGCAGCGCGAACUGGUCGACUUGAGUAUGCAGGAAGUAGGCGGAAUUCAUGGUGUAGCGGUGAAAUGCUUAGAUAUCAUGACGAACUCCGAUUGCGCAGGCAGCUUACUGUAGCAUAACUGACGCUGAUGCUCGAAAGUGCGGGUAUCAAACAGG